ensembl:lncRNA
UUUCAUCAUUCAUUGGGCUGUACGCCGAAAUCCUCAUGCCUCACAGUAAGAUGGGCAGUGUGUGGACCCUAUGGUGCACUCGUCUUGCACCAUGUUUAUGAUAUAUAAUCAUAGAAAAAAACGGAGUUAUAAAUGAUGGAUGUUGUCAUAAAAUCAUCCUGCUCACCAUCAAUACAUUAUCUGUCUCCAACUGCUAAUCUGGACUUGCCUGCCCAACCACAUCCUGCUAGGUGCAGUGGAGCCGUGGCCUGUCUGGACAUGUCAGCGAUCUGCCUCGGCCCGGACCAGCCCGAGGGUUGGUCCUGGACGGCGUGUACCGCCGUCACCCACCAGACGGCGACCGAGAGCAGCCCUUUCGCCUCCCCAAUCAGCGUGAUUGGGGGACACCUGGCCGAAAGCCGAGGAGGCAGUAUAAAAGGACUGACAUUUGGACAGCACGGCACGCACGGGAGAGCUAGGAAGAAGGAAGCGCUAGGGUCCACGAGCAGCUAGAGGCCCACGUAGGCCCUAGAGACCGCGAGUGCCCUGGUUGAUUGAAGUUAUAUAUAAUAAAUGCCUUGAAUGGCUUUAACCUUGGAUAAACGCGUCGUUUGUACCGGUAACCCGGCUCAUUCAAGGAGCGGGUUGCCACAGUGUGUUUGUAUGUGUGCAUGUGUGGG